ACAUCAGCAAAAAAGGUUGGCAAAAUGUGCCACGUUAGCUAAAAAGGACGAUAAAAAUACGCUAAAAUUUAGUGCAGGAAAGUAAUAAGACUCUUGUGAAAUUGAAGUGUAUCGUAACAAAUUUGGGCAUAGCUCAGGGGUACUAGAUAUUUAAUAUAAGACGCCAAAUUUGAACUUGUCCUCAAAUAUAAGACGCCACUUUUGUCAUUUUCUCCCACAAAAUACAUAUCAGCAUUAUUUGCACCCUGUAUUUUUAUCAACCCAUUAAUGUCAAAUGUAUGUCUUGUAUAUACACUAUUUAGCACUUAAUCAUAAUUUUGUAAAAUAUAUUUUUACUAUAAAAUUUUGAUCUUUAAAGCACAGACACAUCGUCGAAGCGGGCGUUUGGAUAAAAAGCCUUUCAAUUUUUACUAAUUCUCUUCUUGUUGUACUAUGUACAUAGUGAUAGCCGUUCGGUGGCAGCUGUUGCUAAGAAAACACUUAAGAAUCGAGAUAGACCCAACUUGAUGGCCUUCACAGUAAUUUAGAAAUUAACAAAGUUAAUAAUGUGACCAAGUCCUUCGAAUUUACGGAGUGUCCUUAAGGAGUAAUUCCUCCUCACUUUACUCGAGGUUUUGGAAUCUUCCUCUCAGGAUAAAAUUGUCUUCAAUCCGAAUAAUAGCGGUACCUCAAAUUGUUGGAUUCAGCGAACUCACUCAACGGUUUGAUAGAUCACACAGAAAGUUUUUCAAGACAAGAAGAGAGUUUGUAUUUCAGAAAAUUUUACCUAAACCUGUGGAUGAAAGCAGGUUUAUAUAAGCCAACAUGUGCCUCUUCUGAAAAGUGGCAACUUUGUCCAAAAAGAUAGAUCUCAUCGAUCGACCAUUUUCCGAAUCCGAAUCCAAAUCCGAAUCUGAGCCGAGCGAGCGACGACGACGAUGGCGCGAGGCAUUUCUUAUUUCUUGCCUCACUUACCAUGUGGAGUAAGUAUUCCUUAUUUUAAACACUCACAAGUUUUCUUCUUCCACUAAUGUGGGAGAAAUAGUGAACUUUCCAAUUUGAGAGUACACUUUCUAAAUUAGUAUCUCCCUUCUCUCCACCAUUUUUCCUCCAUCUUUUCAUUCACACUUUUUCAUAUAUUUUGAACCCAACAAUCCCCCACAUGAAUGAGAAAUGACUAUUUCUUCGUAAAAUUUUUACGGACAAGUAUGUGAUCCUCAAGCAAAGACUGAUUGCAUAUUGAUAAGUGGGUUUUUCUUUGAACUUUCCGUACUGAACAUGCAUCCGAUGCACUCGGUUAAUCGGUAGAUUUGAUAUCCUUAAACCGUCGAGCUCUAGUAUACACCUAGACAACACAUGUCACACAACCACCCUUUUACCAUUUAUGGUUCUCACGUUUUUGUUCUUUUCAGCCAUGACCACGUCCCGAUUUUAUGAGAGCUUAGAGAAUAGGCCUUUACUAACAUUUUCCUUAAAGCGGCUUCCACUUCUCCCUCACAUAGGUGAUUUCUAUACGUUCAAUCUUAUAGAUUAAACUAUUUGGUCAAAUAUACCAAAUUUAGAUAAUCAUUAAAAGACUUUUCACCUUAAGUCUUAUCCUUGUUUACUAAACAUUGUCUAUAUCACGAGAAUGAGUUGGGUAAUUGAUAAUAUUGAACCUGUUAGACAUAACUUUGUUUGAUCUCCUUGAACCUAGCUAUUAGGAUCUCCAAUCUGAUAGGUAGAGUUACCGCCAUGCUGACUCGUCCUAGGCCUUAAACUCAUUCUCUUGAAUAUCCUUUUCACUCCUUCUCUAGAUAGGCCUUUUGUAAGUGGAUCCAACACAUUAUCCUUUGACUUUACAUAGUCAACAAAGAUAAUUCAACUAGAGAGAAGUUCCCUAACAGUAUUAUGUCUCCGUCAUAUGUGAUGAGAUUUACCGUUGUACAUCAUGCUCCCUACCCUACCUAUUGCCGCUUGGCUAUCACAGUGUAUACAUACUGGUGCCACUGGUUUGGGCCAAUAAGGAAUAUCUUCCAAAAAAUUCCAGAGCCAUUCUGCUUCUCCACCGGCUUUAUCCAAUGCGAUAUAUUCAGAUUCCAUUGCAGAGCGAGUAAUACAAGUCUAUUUGGAUGAUUUCCAAGAGAUUGCUCCUCCACCGAUAGUAAAUACAUAUCUACUUGUGAAUUUUAUUUCGUUCGAUCCGGUGAUCCAAUCUGAAUCGCUAUAUCCUUCAAGUACCGCAGGAUAUUUAUUAUAAUGCAAGGCAUAGUCUUGAGUGUAUUUAAGAUACCCCAAAACUCUUUUCAUUGCCAUCCAAUGAGUUUUGUUAGGAUUACUCGUGUACCGACUCAAUUUACUAAUAGCGCAUACUAUGUCUGGUCAUGUACAAUUCAUUAUAUACAUUAAACAUCCCAAUACUCUUGCGUACUCCAAUUGUGAGUUACUUACACCUACAUUCUUUUGAAGUGCAAAGCUCACAUCCAAAGGAGUCUUGGCAAUACUAAAUUUCAUAUACUUGAAUUUGUCAAGUACCUUUUUGUAACACCCCACAUUUCGGGUUAGAACGAAAAUCGUCAUUUCUAUGUGUAGACGAUCCAAAAGCAAUAAAUUCUAUGCAAAUAUGGCAUGUUAAUCAUUUUAGUAGUGUGGAAAAUUGAAUGAGCUUUCCGUCGAUAUAAGAUUUGCCCAAAUCCGAUAUACGGGUAAGAAGUUAUAGCUAAUUUAAGUCCUAGUUGUAAAACACCGUCAUUUUGGUGCUUGGCGCGUUGCGAAGGGAGUCUAUUUAACAAUUGUCAAAUUCCAGCUGCCUAGCGCGAUUGUGGCACGUUGCGCUGAAGUUCCAGGUCCCAACCAGUGGGACAACGCGAUGGCUCCGCGUCGCGGUGACCCUAAAAAUCCCAUUCGUCAAUUUCCAGUGAGCCACCGCGAUAGCGGCGCAUUGCGGUGGCCCAUUAAAUCGGACUCCCAGUUAUAUUUUAUUUCAUCUCAUUUAGGGUAUAUUGGGUAUUUUCCACCCCCUUAUCAGCCUAAACGUGGGAUUUAAUUCCAAAAAACUCCAGAAUACAUUCAUAAUCAUCCAAGUUACUCAAGAACACUCUCUAGAGUUUUAAACUAAAAACCCAAAUAACUCAAGAUUCAACCAUGAGUUUUUCUUAAUUCUUCAAUAUUCGGAAUCCCUAUUGCUAGAGCUUCAAGAAGCACCCAUCAAUUGUACGUAUAGCAUCCCAAAAGCUAGAGAUCAUUCAAAAGCUUCUAAUUUGAGGUACGUGGGGUUUGUCCUAAAAACUACAUGGGCUUGUAAACACUAGAUCAUGAUUUAAAUAUUAUCAAGCAUGAAUUUUAAAGGGAUUUUUUGGAAUCUAUGUUUUAAUUAUGCAUUAUAAAUGUUUUUAUGAUAUUGUUGAUUUGACCUUUAAGUCUUUUCCCCUUGAAUUGAUUUACAAGUAUAUGUAUAUGUAUGAAAAAUGAGAUUGAAGAUUAUUUGAGAGCACAUAUUAUGAAACCCCUCUCGUAUGUUGAAUUAAAGAUUAUGGUUUUAUCGAAAAAGAGUUGAAAUGCAUGCCUUGUGAUUUAAAAGUAGUUUUUUCAAUGUCAUAGCAAUUGAAAUAUGAUUUAGAAAUAAUGAGAGGGUGUUUCUUGAUGUUACUAUGAUGUUCUUGUGUUAAAGAGAAAGAAAUGCAUGUAAUUGAGAACUUUGACAUGACCACCUUGAAUUCUUGAAAUGUUGACAAAGAGAGUUUCUUGCAUAUGUUUACAUGAGCUUUAAGAAAGAGUUUCUUGAAAUGAUUUAUUGAUAUGGUGGUCCCAUAUUNNNNNNNNNNNNNNNNNNNNNNNNNNNNNNNNNNNNNNNNNNNNNNNNNNNNNNNNNNNNNNNNNNNNNNNNNNNNNNNNNNNNNNNNNNNNNNNNNNNNNNNNNNNNNNNNNNNNNNNNNNNNNNNNNNNNNNNNNNNNNNNNNNNNNNNNNNNNNNNNNNNNNNNNNNNNNNNNNNNNNNNNNNNNNNNNNNNNNNNNNNNNNNNNNNNNNNNNNNNNNNNNNNNNNNNNNNNNNNNNNNNNNNNNNNNNNNNNNNNNNNNNNNNNNNNNNNNNNNNNNNNNNNNNNNNNNNNNNNNNNNNNNNNNNNNNNNNNNNNNNNNNNNNNNNNNNNNNNNNNNNNNNNNNNNNNNNNNNNNNNNNNNNNNNNNNNNNNNNNNNNNNNNNNNNNNNNNNNNNNNNNNNNNNNNNNNNNNNNNNNNNNNNNNNNNNNNNNNNNNNNCCUAUGGUAUUUUAGAGUUGUAGGGUAUAACAGCUAGCGCAGAAGUAAAACAAAGAAUGUCUCAAAGUUCAGAUGAUUUUCUUUCAGAGUCUUUCAGAAAUGCCCAUGAGAUUUCUUACUAUAUGAUAUGUUUAUGAACUGUUUUAAAUUGCUCUCAUAUAUGUUGAAUAUAAAUUAUUAUUUUAGAUUUGCUCUACGUACCAGUACAUCUGUAUUGACCCCCUACCUCCCAGGUUUGGAGUCUCAGUCUAAGGGUCUGGCUAAUCAGUAGAGUAUUCCAGAGAGAAAUGAUCCGUGUAGUGGUGAGCCUUCUUUGUUCUAGAAGGCCUGUUAUUUCAAAUCAUGUUAUUAUGUUGUUUUGCUCUACUAGGGGCCUUGUCCCAGUUUUCAGAACAGUUUUGAGAUGUAGUGGAGAUUUCACAGACUAAGUCAGAUCUUAUUUAGAUGUUUUGAAUUGCAGUUUUCUUUCUUAUUUCUUGAAAUUCAGAGUUAAUGACCAUGUUUCCGUAUCAGAUUAUACUUUCGCAAUUUCUUUUAUGAUAUGAAUGUUGUGCAUGAUUACCAGAUCAGAUAGAGUAGGAUGUCCGGGCCUUCAUAGUUUGAGAUUUCCAUCACGGCCAGGCCCUAGUUUGGGUCGUGACACUUUUCGAUAUAGUGAGACUAUGACAAUGCCAACCCUUGUGGAGUUUUAUGGAUUCUUAUGCCUAAGAUCAAAUCCGCAACUCCAAGAUUUUUCAUAUCAAACUUUCUCUCGAGCAUUCGCUUCGUUGCAUUUAUGUUAGAAAUGUCUCUACUGGUGAUCAACAUAUCAUCCACAUAUAAACAAAGAAUGACUUGGUGAUUUGGAGUGUCUUUAAUAUAAACACAUUUAUCACAUUCAUUUAUCUUGAACCCGUUUACCAACAUGGUUUGGUCAAACUUCGCAUGUUGUUGUUUAGGUGCUUGCGUUAGUCCAUACAACGACAUAAUAAAUUUACACACCUUGUUCUCUUUUUCUGGAACCACAAAACCUUCAGGUUGUUCUAUGUAAAUUUCUUCCUCCAAUUAUCCGUUUAGGAAUGCAGUUUUCACAUCCAUUUGAUGGAUUUCAAGACCAUAUACCGCUGCCAAGGCAAUUAACAUUUGAAUCGAUGUUAUCCUUAUUACUGGGGAGUAUGUAUCAAAGUAAUCAAGACCUUCUUUUUGUUUGAAGCCUUUUACUACAAGUCUUGCCUUAUAUUUGCCAAUAGUACCAUCUGCUUUUAUUUUUCUUUUGAAGAUCUAUUUUGAACCUAAAGGUUUAUAUCCUGGAGGAAGAUCAACCAAUUCCAAUGUAUGGUUGCUUAAGAUUGAAUCAAUCUCACUAUUAACUGCUGCUUUCCAAAAAGAUGAGUCCGAAGUCGACAUCGCUUCUUUAAAUGUUUAAGACUCAUUUUCUAAGAGCAAUGUUACUAAAUCUGAACCAAACGAAGUUGACGUUGUUUGAUGUGUACUACGCCUUGAAUUUUAUUCAUCAUGUACAUUCUCACUUGGUUCAUCUCGAAUUCGUUUAGACUCCCCACUAGACUGUUCAUGUCUAGUUUUAUACGGAUAAAUGUUUUCAAAGAAUUCAGCAUUAUCUGAUUCAAUUAUCGUAUUUUCAUUAAUAUUCGGAUGUUUGGAUUUAUGAACCAAAAAUCGACAUGCUUAACUACUUUUAGCAUAUCCUAUGAACACACAGUCCACCGUCUUAGGUUAUAUCUUAACCCUUUUAGGCAUAGGAACUUGGACCUUUGCUAGACACCCCCAUACUUUGAAAUAUUUCAAGUUGGGUUUCCUUCCUUUGAGUAUAUGGUUGGCUGUAAGGAUAGCCUCCCCCCAAAAGUUUUGCGGUAAAUCGGAACUUAUAAGUAAGACAUUCAUCAUUUCCUUCAACUUUCAUUUUUUCCUUUCCGCAAUUUCGUUAGAUUGAGGUGAAUGCGGAGCCGUAGUUUGAUGGAAAAUUCCAUUCUCUACAUAUAUUUUGGGUUCUACAAUUUAGUGUGGCAUAGCACGAAUGAAGCCAAUCCAUCCCUAAGAUAGCAUCAAAAUCAAUCAUGUCUAAGUCUAUGAGGUCUGCCGCAGUAUCCCGCCCACAAACAGUCACUACACAAUUUAUAUACACCCUUCUAGCCACAAAAGUGUCUCCUACCGAAGUGAAAACACAAAAAGGUUCGGCAAUUACAUUGGGCUCAAACCCAAAAUCAACAGCCAUAUAAGGGGUCACAUAAGACAGGGUAGACCUGGGAUCAAGUAACACAUAAACAUCACGGAAAAAGAUUUGCAACGUACUAGUAACUACAUCCGGUGAGGCCUCUGCCUCUUGGCGGUUGGUCAAGGCGUACAACCGGUUGCGACCGUUUUUGGCGGCUGAAGUGGCACCCUUUUGAGGCGGUGGUGGUGCAUAAGAAUUAGCCUGUGACUUGGCUCCACCAACAUUACCCCUUGCUGCCGGACAUUCUCUCUGGAUAUGGCCUGGCUGGCUACACGAAUAACACACCAUAGCGCUAAACUGACAUCUCCCUGGAUGAUUUCUCCCACAUUUCUCACAGCGCCGGUAUGUCUGAGAGCUCUGAGCUAUACUUCCUUGAGACUAUGAACCCUGCAUCCUCGGCCCUUGCCUAUACUGAAAAUCCUGAGUGUGCUGUCCGGCUGGGGGUCUGUUCACCGGGGCACUGGCUGCAGACUGGGCAUUACCCCAAUUUUCCUUCUUCUUAUGCCAUUUGUUACCCCUAUUCCCACUCUGCUAUUGACUAUAGCUCUGGUCUGCUAUUUUGGAUCUCUUUGCCUGUUUGUCCUUCUCUCCAGAUUCAAUGAUUUUCUUUUUCUUUUCCUCAACUUGCUGCAUGUGGAUUGAUAGCCUGGCAAAAUCCAUGUCCCGAUUCAACAUUGCUCCCUGAUAUUCAAGCUCUAAGUCAUCUGAAAGGCCGGAUGAAAAUUUCCUAAUUCAGGCUCUUAUGUUACUAGUUAUCUCUGGAGCAUAACGGGCUAGUUGGUUGAACCUCAGAGUGUACUCCUGUACACUCAUCUUACACUGCUUUAGAUUCAUAAACUCUUUGGCUUUAGCCUCCCUCAGCUCGAGAGGAAAGAAUCGAUCAAGAAAGGUUUCCACGAACUCGGCCCAAACUGUGGGCUCAGCAUCUUCCCACUCAUUAUACUAUUAGUUCGCUACAUCCUUGAGCUGGUAAGCUACUAACUCAACUCCCUCUAUCUCAUCUACAUGCAUCACCUUAAAGAUCUUCUCCAUUUCGUCCACAAACUCCUGUGGAUCCUCUUCUACCUUGGUAUCUGUAAACUUGGGUGGGUUCAUCCUUAUGAACUGGCCCACUCUUGUAGCCUCAGACGUAACAGAUGCAAACCCAAUAUUUUCCAACCGUUGAGUCUAUAUGGCUACCAACUGCGCAAACAUGUGAAUGGACUGUCUGAAUUCUGCAUUAGAUACCUCUCUCUUAUGAGGUUGAGUAUGGUUUGUCCUCAUUUGGGAAGCUCUGGGUGCCCUAAGUGGGCUGGUCUGAGUAGGUCGGACUCUCGGAGUAGCAUUAAUCUCUGAAAUUUGAGCUCUAUUUCGAGUCCUCAUCCCAUGAGUGGGAAGGACCUUAUUUGUCUGUGCAUUCUGAUCGAUAGUACGAUGGGGAGGCAUGAUUGUUUUUCUGAAACACAAGAGAUCAUAGAUUAGGGGACAACUCAGACUCUGAAGCACGAACUAAACCACAAAGAAGAGAAAUAUUCCUAAAUGCCUAGUAGCCUCCUGCUUAUAAGUAUGGCGUGCUAAACACCCAUAAACAAGAUUCUACCCGACGCGAUUUUGCAGACACCCUGGGACCAUGAACCGUGCUCUGAUACCAAGUUUGUCAUGACCUAAACUAGGGCCUGGCCAUGGCGGAUAUCCCGAACCAUGAAGGCUCCAACGUCCUACUCUAUCUUGUAGUCAUGCACAACAUUCAUAUAAUAAAAAAAUAUGAGAAAAUGCAAUCUUAUACGGAAACAUGGUCAUUAACUCUGAGUUUCAAGACAUGAGAAUGAAAGUUACAAUUCAAAACAUCUGAAUAAGAUUUAACCUAGUCUGCAAAAUCUUUACUACAUCUCAAAACUGUUCUGAAAACUGGGCAAGGCCCCCAGUAGACCAAACCAAUGGAAUGACACAAUCUGAAAUAAUAGGCCUUCUGGAACACAGAAGGAUCACUACUGAUCAGAUCACUUCUCUCUGGAAUAUUCUACUGAUUAACCAGACCCUUGGACUGAGCCUCCGAACCUAGGAGAUAGGGGUCAAUACAGAUAUACUGGUAUGCAGAGCAGAUCCAAAGUACUAGUUUAUAUUCAACAUAUAUGAGAGCAAUUUAAAAUAGUUCAUAAACAUAUCAGAUAGUAAGAAAUCUCAUGGGUAUUUUUGAAAGACUCUGAAAAAUCAGCUAAACUCUGUGACACUCUUCGUUUUACUUCUACGCUAGGUGGUAUACCUUACAACUCUAAAAUUCCACGGGCUAUAUGGAAUCCGCCAUUGACUCGGUGGGGAAGCCCCCAACCCAAGUGUGCCGCAAGGGUUGGAGUCUCUGACUUUUCUAUGCCACACGGCUGUCGCCAGCGUAAAAAUAAUAUACCCGAAUCAACAAAUCACGGUUUUAGGUUAAGAGUUACUUGAACUCAAACCUUCUUCGGGUAACCACCUAACCCUCUUUAAGCCCAAUUUUAACUCUUUAAAACAUGCAUUCACUAAAAAUAUAUUUUGAAAACAUNNNNNNNNNNNNNNNNNNNNNNNNNNNNNNNNNNNNNNNNNNNNNNNNNNNNNNNNNNNNNNNNNNNNNNNNNNNNNNNNNNNNNNNNNNNNNNNNNNNNNNNNNNNNNNNNNNNNNNNNNNNNNNNNNNNNNNNNNNNNNNNNNNNNNNNNNNNNNNNNNNNNNNNNNNNNNNNNNNNNNNNNNNNNNNNNNNNNNNNUUAAUCUUAUGCCAAUCUUUCCCUUUUAACAAAAUAUAUUUACAUCAAGAAACUCCCUCUCUUAAACUCUCUAAAUCAUGCUCAAAAUAAUAUGGUAUUUGAGUAAACUAUUUUCAAGCCAUAAAUCAUGCAUUUGAAAUCCUUCACCUUAAGAUCAUAAACUUAAAGUCAUCACAAGAGAGGGAUUUCAUAUGUUAUGCUCUCAAACAAUCUUCAAUCUAAAAUUUUCAAACAUAUACAUAUACAUGUAAAUCAAUUUAAGGGGUAAAGGCCUAAAGACCAAAUCAACAAUACAAUUAAACAUUCAUAAUGCAAAAUAAAGUUAUAUAUUUCAAAACCCCUUUCUAAAUUUAUGCUUGAUAACCUUUAAAUCAUGUUCUAGUGUUUAUAAGCCCAUCUAGUUUUUAGGAUAAACUCCACGUACCUUAAUUUAGGAAUUUGAUGAAUGAUUCUUGAAGCCUAUGAUUUGGGGAUUCCAAAUCUUCAAUCAAUCUUGAAAACCCAUGUUUAAAUCUUGAGUUAUUUGGAUUUUUAGUUUGAAACCCUAGAGAGUGUUCUUGAGUAAUUUGGAUGAUUGUGAAUGUAUUCUGGUGUCUUUGGGAUUAAAUUCCGUGUUUAGGCUGAUAAGAGGGUGGAAAAUACCUAAUAUACCCUUAAUAAGAUGGAAUAAAAAUAUAACUGGGAGCCCAAUUACAUGGGCCACCACAACGUGCCACAAUUGCGGUGGCUCACUGGAAAUUGAUGAGUGGGAUUUUUAAGGUCACCGCGACACGGAGCCAUUGCAUUGUCCCACUGGUUGGGACCUGAAACUUCAGCGCGAUGCGCCACAAUCGCCCUAUGCUACUGGAAUUUGACAAUUUCUAAAUAGGAUCCCUCCGCGAUGCGCCAAGCUCCAAAAUGAUGGUGUUUUACGAUUAGAACUUAAAUUAACCAUAACUUCUUGCCCGGGUAUCGGAUUUGGCCGAAUCUUAUAUCGACAGAAAGCUCAUUCAAUUUUUCACAUGAUAAAAAGUAAAAUUAGGAAAAUUAUAUAUGGUUUAAACUUUACUCACUUUGGAAGUCAAAAAUGAGACUAAGUUUCUUUGACACAAUUCUAGCAUUUAACUCUAAGAGCAUAUUACCACGAGCUAAUGCAUGGAUGAUUUUUGUGGGGUGUUACUAGACACUUAUCCUUUGCUAAUUACAAUUUUUUUAUAAACGGUUACACAUUUGAAUCUGUUCUUGUCUAGAAGUGAAACAAAAAUUAAGUUCCUACAUAACUCUGGAACAUACAAGACAUUGUUAAGUGUCAAGACCUUUCCUGAAGUUAUUUUCAAGCCCACUUUUACUGUUCUUUCUACCUUAGCCGUAGUGGACUUAGUCAUGUAGAUCAUUUCUUCUACUUGAGCCGGAGCGGAUGACGAAAAUAACUCUUUGUUGGCACAAACAUGGUAGGUGGCACCAGGACCCAUCCACUAUUCACGAGGAUUUCCCACCAAGUUGCAUUCUGAGAAUAUAGGACACAGAUCAUCACUUUAUUUGUUGGACUCAACCAUAUUAGCUUGGUCCUUUUUCUUGCCUUUCAUUGGGGCACAACAAUCCGUAGACUUUUGGCCAAUAUUGCCACAAUUGUAGCAUUUUUCCUUGAAUUUCUUCUUGGUUUGGUUUCUUCCUUGUUCAACUUUCUUCCUUUUCUUAGAAUUAUUUUGAUCAUCUUAUACAAUAUGUGCUCUAUUAAUUUUAGAAUUCCCCUUUGACCUUCUCUUGCCAGCCUUAUUAUCCUCUUCAAUACGUAGUUAGACAAUAAGAUCUUCGACAGUCAUCUCCUUGCGUUUGUGCUUCAAGUAGUUUUUGAAAUCUUUCCACAUAGGUGGUAGCUUCUCAAUGAUCACUGCUACUUGAAAUGCAUCAUUCAUAAUCAAACCUACAAAACAGUUUAUGUGAGUACUAAGAACAUUUUUAAUUUGUUCAACUAAGGUAUUUUUCGAAGAUAUACCUUCCGCUAGGAGAUCAUGGAUGAUUACUUGCAAUUCCUGCACUUGAGAGACAACCGAUUUGCUAUCUAUCAUUUUAAAGUUUAGGAACCUUGCAACAAAGAAUUUCUUAACUCCCGCAUUCUCUGUCUUGUAUUUUCGUUCUAGUGCCCCCCGCAAUUCCUUUGAUGUCUUAAUUCCACUUUAAACAUUAUAGAGGUUGUCUUGGAGACCACUUAAGAUAAAAUUCCUGCAAAGAAAGUUCGAGUGUUUCCAAGCCUUUACAAUCAUGAAAUGCUCUUUGUCCGAGGUUGCACCUCAAGAGCAUCCUCACUAGUGAGCCUUUGAAGGCAUAGAGUGGUGAGGUAAAAGAACAUCUUUUGCUGUCAUCGCUUAAAGUCAAUGCCUGCAAAUUUCUCGAACUUUUCCACAGGUUCCAUUGGUUGCAGAACAUUUGCUCGACUUGUUGAGGCAAUACUAGUUGCCCCCACAGUCGUAGCCAUAUCUUGCAUUUGACUUUCGUUAGACAUUUUUUCUGUCACCACAAGACAAUAAAAUUUAGUAUUUUUAGAAUACUACUUAUAAAGUUAAGCAAAUUUAAACUCUUCUUCUUGUUUCUAGUUAACGAUGAAGUUUUUAUGACUUUCAAUCGUCAACCGAGUGAUCUUUAACUUGUGAUAAAGAUUUUAUGUCUUUGAAAGGUUAAAGGUUUAAUCUCCAAAAACAAUCAAUACAGAUUCUGCAAGGUUAUUCCUUAAGAUUGUUAUCUUUUAUGUAUUCUGGUACAAGAAUCUGUAUAUAAGAAAUACAAACAACACUAGUUCAAGUCCAAGUCAAGAACACUUAUAAAGUUCUUUAAAACUUUCAACACUAGAUUACAAAUAAUUUAUCUAAGAAGUGUGUUUAGAUUCAGAAAAGAGAUAAAACAUAAUUUAAGACCAAGUCCUCCGAAUUCACGGAGUGUCCUUAAGGAAUAAUUCCCCUCACUGUACCCGAGGUUUUGGAAUCUUCCUCCCAGGAUAAAAUGGCCUUCAAUCCGAACAAUAGCGAUACCUCAAAUUGUUGGAUUUGGUGAACUCACUCAACGGUUUGAUAGAUCACACAGAAAAUUUUUCAAGACAAGAAGAGAGUUUGUAUUUCAGAAGAUUCAUACCUAAACCUGUGGAUGAAAGCAGGUUUAUAUAGCCAACAUGUGCUUCUUUUGAAAAGUGGCAAUGGUUUACUUAAAAGGUGUGACCUUUCUGGAAAAGUCAUGUCUGUUCAUCUAAAGAAUGUGUAUUUUCCGAACAGGCAUACCAUUUCAUGAAUCAAUGUGUCAUUUCGUUGAAGGGUUGCAUCCCUUCGUUUUAGCACUGCACUGUCUCAAAACACUAUUUCGGAAGCUGCAUGCAUGCAUAUAAAUGGAGUAUCAAAACACAUAAAAAAGUUGUGUUUUUCCCUUUGGUAUUUUCGAACUGAAUUUCUGUCAAAUAAACUUUAUCCAAAAAGAUAGAUCUCAAUGAUUGGUCAUUUUCUAAAUCCAAAUCCGAAGUCGAAGCAAAAGCCGAAGCUGAAGCCUAAGCCGAAGCGGAUCCGAGCGAGCGACGGUGGCGACGGCGCGAGGCAUCUCUUAUUUGUUGCCUUGCUUACCAUGUGGAGUAAGUAUUCCUUAUUUUAAACACUCGCAAGUUCUCUUCUUCCACUAAUAUGGGAGAAAGAGUGAACUUUCUAAUUUGGGAGUACACUUUCUAAAUUAGUGUCUCCUUUCUCCCCACCAUUUUUUCUCUAUUUUUCAUUCACACUUUUUCAUAUACUUUGAACCCAAUAUUUACCAUACAUCAGAACGAAUCAAUUGAAAAGAACCGUAUCACUAGUUUAAUUGUUCGAGACAAGAAAGAUAAUCGACUUUUUGUUUUCCCAAAUAAAAAACUGUAAAGUUUAAUCAAGGAUCCAUCUAUAAUGAAUAUGAAUUGAAACUGCUAUUGCUUUUGUUGUAUUGAAAAUGAGUUGAUUAAUUACAACGUAUUACACUUGAGUAUUUAUAGACAAUCACAUUGUGUUCUUGAAGCUUCUAGUCUUCCUAACAAACUAACUCAACAUACUGCGACUGACCACAUGUAACAAUAUUAACUCUCAGUGAUCGACUCAAUGAAACAGUAACAACACUAAUGUAAUAGUGCAGUAACUACUCUGCAACUCUACUCUUACUUACAGGAAAGCUUAGCCUAGUUUGCUUAGCUAAGGGGCAGAUAUGACAAUUAUUCAAACCUUCUACAUCCUUGUCAUGCUGCAAGAUGUCCAAUAACUUCAAAACUUGAGCUGAUGGAUGACCAAGUCUUCUAUGCUAGAGGUUGUAAUCUUGCACAACUACUUAUGCUUCUGCUGUAUAUUUGUGAACCUGAGCUCGGGAGCUUUGUACUUUGUGUUCUACAUACUGUCUCUUGAGAACAUAUAAUCCACCUGUUUCCUUACCAAUCCCUUUCACCCUGCCAUUGUGAAGGUCCUGACAGACAUAGAAGUAAGGAUGAAAGGAAACAAAGCAUGAAAGUUGCCUAGUCAUUUUGGACACUAACAACAAGUUAAGUUUAAAGUCAGGCACAAACAACACAUCUUUCACAGUUCCAUCUCUAAACAUAUGUGCCUCUCCAGUAUGAGAUAUAUCCACCUUAGCACCAGUAGAAAGAUGUAUCUUAUCCUUUUUUGAUCCAUCUACUUUGUAAUAUUUUGACAGAAUAUUUUUACUUUCUGCAACAUGAUGUGUUGCACCAGAAACCACUAUCCAUUCCUGUGAUAUCUGAUGAAAUAGCGAACAAACAAAUUUACCUGUCAAGUUGUUGUGACUGGUAUCAAGUGUAUCCUUGUUCAGCAUGUCCAUGAUUUGUUUAUAUUCUCCAUCAGUGAAUGUUUUCCCCUUGGGUAAAAUAGCAUUGUGAACCUCCUUGUUGUUUACAUGACUAGUUGAAGCAGCUUAUCCUGCACCUCCAUAGAUCUUAUCACCAGUUAUAUUGUUGGUGGAAUGUUAAGUAUGCAUCUUUCCUCCAUAAUGAUGUCCAUGACUACCAUAUCCACCAUGUUUUCCAUAGAAUUGAUUGUUUCCUCCUUUAGAAUUAAAGCCUUGAUGUGAUCCUUCUGGUCCACCAUUGUAACUUUCCUUUUUCUGUUGCCUCCAAUCAUUAGAAUAGCCUAUAAAUAGCAAUUAUCUCUGGUGUGACCACUAAAAUGGUAGUAAUCAAAUAUUUUUCCUCUAUUGUUUUGUGAUCCAUAGUUUCUUACUUAGCUUCUACUCACUUGCAUUGUGAUUGGAUCAGUCUUUUCACCAAUGACAUUUACACAAGCCAGUUGCUGAAUUUCAUCCUUAGUUAUCAUUGCAUAAGCUUGAUUAAGUGUAGGUGUGAUUCCUUUUUACAAGAGCUGACUUCUUGCCUGAUCAAAUGACUCAUUCAGCCCACUCAAAAACUAUAUCAGUCUUUUCACCAAUGAUAUUUACACAAGCUAGUUGCUGAAUUUCAUCCUUAGUUAUUAUUGCAUAAGCUUGAUUAAGUGUAGGUGUGAUUCCUUUUAAUAGGAUCUGCCUUAUUUCCUGAUCAUAUGACUCAUUCAACCCACUCAAAAACCGUAUCAGUCUUAAUUCAUAAGUGAUCUGCAUAGUCUUUUGACUUUGGACAAACACAUGAUGGAGCGAAAAUUAUUGCAUCUAUUCACUCCACAGACUCUUUAAUUUUGUGAAAUAAGCUGGUACUGAAUUCGUACCCUAUGAAAUAGUAUUGAUCUUUCCAUGUAGUUGAUACUACCUCAUAUGAUUCACCCUAUCAUACCUCUCUUUCAGAUCUUCCCAUACUUCAGAUGCACUUGUUGCAUAGACGAUCCCACUGAGCGACUCUGCACUUACAGAAUUCAUAAUCUAUGAUAGUACUAUAGCAUUGCAUGUUUCCCAUUGAUCAUGUAACUCUUCUCUGUAUGUAUCUUUGCUACAUCUCCUUGUCACAAAUCCAUAUUUCCUCUUACCUAGAAGUGCAAUUCUCAUUAACCUACUCCAAACUCCAUAGUUCUCAGAUCCUACAAGUUCGAUUGGUAUCAAGGCAGCACCAGAUACAUCUGAUGCUCCUAUGAACAAGGGAUCACUAGGAUUUAUCUUAGGUGCCAUUCUUAAUCUCAAUAGAACUUCAAUAAUUAAGUGUAAAUGAUCAUAUAUAAUGCAACUACGAAACAAGAAAUUACUUCAAUACUUCAGAGUCUAAGAAGAAUAAACUCAGAACAUAGAUCGAAGGAAGAAAAAGAACUUCUACCACAAAUGUUAGCUGAGAACAGUGAUAAAAAACAGCCUCUAUCACCUUUUAUCGAAGGAGCCUCUUGUCACAAUGGAGAUUUAAACUCCAUGGAUUUCUUCUCUACUCCAUAAUCGAGCUGGAGCUUUGAUACCAUGUAAAGUUUACUCAAGGAUCCAUCUAUAAUGCAGAUGAAAUGAAACUGCUAUUGCUUUUGUUGUAUUGAAAAUGAGUUGAUUGAUUACAAUGUAUUAUAGUUGAGUAUUUAUAGACAAUCACAUUGUGCUCUAGAAGCUUCUAAUAUUCCUAAAAAACUAACUCAAUAUGUUGUGACUGACCACAUGUAACAAUAUCAACUCUCAGCGAUCAACUCAAUGAAACAAUAACAACACUAAUGUAACAGUGCAGUAACUACUCUGCAACUUAACUACUUAAUCCUGUAAAUUUAACAGCAAACAUUACAAGAAUUAUUAUCGAACGAAGAUGAACUAACAUUUUAAGCACAACACAUAUCAAUUGCUUAUCAACCUUUUUUUUUAAGCGAACACAUCAACUGCUUAUCAACUCAAUACUUUUAUUCAAAUGCGUAACUGCUUACUUAUAAAUUCUAUUUCAACACUACGAGCUUAUCCACUAUUUACAAUCAACUAACACAAAAGGGCUCUCGAUAUAAUAGUCCCAACCAAAAAAAAAAAAUAGUUUGAGUAAAGCAUCUAGUAUUCCCUAAACUAUGACCAAAUUUACUAUGGGACACUCCAACUUCACGGGGUUCUAUUACCCCGUUGGACUAAAUUUUAACAUAUUUUUGUCAACCUUUUUAGCUAAAGUGACACCUUUUGUCACUCUUUUUAACUGACGUAGCAACUUUGAUAUGGACCCCAUUUUAUGUAAUAAAGGUGCCAUGUUAGCACAAAAGGGUGACGAAAAUAUGCUUAAAUUGAGUUCAAGGGAUAAUAGGAUCCCUGUGAUGUUGAAGUUUAUCGUAACAACUUCUAGCUAUAGUUUGAAUGGACACUAGAGGUUUAUCUCAAAUAGUUUAUUGAAGAGAGUAAAAGAGCAUGACACAAGAAGGAUAAAGAGAAAAUGCCAAGAGGCUUGUCCAAAGUGGAUAUCUUGGGCUGAAUAAUGCAAGAAGCCCAAUUAUUGCACAAGCAACCAAAACUAUUACCACUUGUGCUGAAUAAUCCCAAGUUAAGUCCUUUGCACACACAAUAGCCAAUAGUGUUGUCAUGCCCAUGAUGUUGUUCAUGAUCACUCCACCAUAUAUCUGUUUGCCAAAUAGAUCCAAUAUUCAGCACAAGCAUAUUUUUUUUUCAUUUUAUUUUGAGAUAAGCAUCCAGUACCCCCGAACUAUAAUCAAAGUUGUUAAGACACACUCCAACUUCACAAGGCUAUUACCCCCGAACUCAAUUUUAGCAUAUUUUAGUCAUCCUUUUGUGCUGAUGUGACACCUUAAUUACAUAAAUGGGGCUCAAGUCAAACAUGUCGCGUCAGCUAAACAGGUUGACAAAAGGUGCCAUGUUAGCCAAAAAGGUUGACAAAAAUUUAGUUCUGGGAGGUAAUAGGCCCCGUGAAGUUGGAGUGUGUCGUAGUAAAUUUGGUCAUAGUUAAGAAGGUACUAGAUGCUUUACUCUUUUAUUUUUAGUUAAAGGAUAAUUUAUAGAACCAUUUCUGCUUCAUGUAGAUGCUAAGAUAUCUAUCACAGUUGGUGGAACAGGAUAUGAAGUUUAUUGAUUCUGAACUUGUUAUCGAAUCUAUAGCUUGUUUUAUUACUGGUUUCGCGAUUAGGUACUUAUACAUAUUGAUGAAUUUCCUAAUACAAGUACUGUGUUUAGGCAAAAGUUACUAUGUUCGUCUCAACCUGUACUUAUAACCUGUUUGGUCAAUCUUCUAAAAAGAUAAAAGUACUGCUUAGUUUCUUUAUAGUACCUUCGCAAAAACACUUUUGGAAUAUCGGCCAAGCAAAAUACUGUUGUUCUAAUAUCAUCAAAAAUGCUUUUCAAAUCGAUUAGCCAAAUACAAAUUACUACUCUCCGAAAGUACUUUUUCUGAAAGAAAAUACAUAGAUAAGAUACAACACCUUUAACUUAGCUCAACUGGCAACUAAACACCUCAGCUUUGAAAAUGCACAACUGAAAAGUCUGUAACUUAAGGUGUCUAGAUAUGUGCAACUUAAACCAAGUCAAUGGGUCUAGAUGCGUAUAUUCAAAGUUGGGGUGUUUAGUUGCCAGUUGAAUAGUACUCCUAACAAAAGGCAUUUUUCAGAAGAGAUAAAGCAUUCAUUACCCCCUCGAACUAUUGCCAAAGUUGCUACGACACACUUCAACUUUACAGGGGUCCUAUUAACCCCUACCCCACCCCCCACAACUCAAUUUUAGCGUAUUUUGACACCCUUUUGUGCUGAUCUGGCACCUUUACUACAUAAAAUGAGGUCCACGUCAAGGUGCCACAUCAGUUAAAAAGGUUCACAAAAGGUGCCACAUCAACACAAAAGGGUGGCAAAAAUAGGCUAAAAUUAAGUUCGGAGGGGUAAUAGGACCCCCGUGAAGUUGGAGUAUUUCGUAGCAAAUUUGGUCAUAGUUCAGAAGGUACUAGAUGCUUCACUCUUUUUAAAAUAAACAAAUUUUGAGAGCCUGACUAAAAACUGGCUAUUAUAAUACUGUAGCUCCACCCCUGGCCGUGACGAUUCUAGUUAUGAAAGAGAAAGAGAGAGUUAAACUUACCUCAGAGAAUGUCAAAGAAGAAGUUUUUGAGCUCUUCUGGCUAGCUGGAAAGAUUGCUGCUAGUGCCAUUCUUGCAUUUAGAGCCAAUGGUACUAUCACAAAAGGGAUGAGGAAAGAAGGCGUUCCAAUAGCUUCAGACAACUUUUCAAUACUUUUUACUAGUGGUUUUGCGCAAAAUGUCAGCAUUGCAAUUCCCAAAAUCACUUCAAAUAUAGACUUGUUAAAAUCCCAUGUCAACAACUUAUAGUUGAUCUUUCCAUCUUUUUCCACUUCAUACACCAAUUUUUCGACUUCACCCCACAUAAUCUACAGACAAUAAGACCACAUUAAGGCAACCGUAAGGAGGAAUCUUUACAUCGAAACUUUAGAAAGAAAAUGAAUGAAAUGAAGGAUAAACGUAUGUACAUAAGUAUUGAAUACGUAUCCAUAUUGUCUCUAUUAAAAAAAUUAGAAGAACUGCUGUGAAUUGACUCUACACUGAAGAGCGAAAAAUCAGUGAAAUUCUUGUUAUCUUUAAGAGAUAAGCAUCCAUUACCCGCUCGAACUAUGACUAAAGUUAGUAUGACACACUCCAACUUUACAGGAGUCUUAUUACCCCCUGAACUCUAUUUUAGCGUAUCUUAAUACCUUUUGUGCUGACGUGGCACCUUUGUUAUAUAAAAUGGGGCCCACAUAAAGGUGCAACGUCUGCUAAAAAGGUUAAUAAAAGAUGUCACGUCAGUAUAAAAGGGUGACAAAAAUAUGCUAAAAUUGAGUUCAGGGGGUAAUUGGUCCCCCGUAAAGUUGGAGUGUGUCGCAACAAAUUUGGUCAUAGUUCAAGGGUGUACUAGAUGCUUCACUCUAUCUUUAAUAAGUAAAAGCAGAAAAAACUAUAUAUAGGUCCUUAGUAGCAUUACCCAAGAAGAAGGAGGCGGAUAAAAGAACACGAAUAUUUAACUCUAUCGUAGUCCUUAGCAGAUAACCUUAGUCUACGAUAAUUAGUACAUCAGAAUAGAGGACAAUCAUACUUGUUCAAUAUAUCUCUUUCAACUUGGAUUCCAAAGAAACAAAAGAUUUGGUUACAAUUUUUCAUAUGAUCUCCUCUUAUAAAAAACAAACAAACAACAUACACAGUAUAAUCCACAAAUGGGGCCUCUGGAGGGUGAUCUUCUCUUAUAGAUAGACUAAAAGAUAAAAUAAAACAAAGUUUUUGUAUUCGUUCCGUGUUAUGGAGUUGUUCCCAUCAAUAUCAUACUGAUGGAAGAUUCUGCAACCAUUACAGGCAAAGAUGAGGAACAGAUAGGUCUAAGAUCUUUUUUUUCUCUUUAUUUGGUUGUGUUUGGUAUGACAGAAGUCAUUUUUCAGGAUAGUAUAUGUCCCAUGAGAAUGUCAUUUUUUUGUGUUUGAGUACUCAAAUGUAUUUUCUUAGGAAAGUAGCUCUUCGAUUUCUGUUACUACCUAUGGUUUCAUGUAGUUGGACUGUAGUAUUUUUUUCGCUAUUAUCUGUUGUUUUUGUUACUAUAUAGUGUUUCUUGUACUUUCAUUACAGUCCUUUUUAGAAUGUUUUUGUCUUGAUCCCGGGGACUAUUGGAAAUAACUUCUCUAACUCACCUCUGAGGUAGAGAAAUGGUCUGCAUACACACUACACUGGGUAUGUCGUUGUUGUACUUCCCUCACUUAUGUGUGUCGGAAGUCAAUCCUUUACGAUUAACUUAGUCUUUUAACUUCAUAUUACUUUUUACGACCAACGCUUAGACAUUAUUAGUAAUCUUUAGUGCUUCAAAGUUUCAUAAGAACAGUCUCCCGUUACACUUUUUAUGAAGGUAUAUUUUCUACUCAUCAACUAAACACUGGAUGAGUAUGAAAAAUGUCUUCCGUCAUACCAAACGCAAGUGAUCUUUUCUUAGGCAUUUCAUCUUAUCACGUGGAAGGAACUUACUCUUUUAUACGUUCAAUGUUGGGAGUUCCAUCGUCAUUGAGAAAGUGUUCAGCUUCUAAUGCUUGGCUUUCCACAUGCUUCAAGAUUUUUGCCAUUAGUUGCUCAAUUUCAGCUAUUUCAUCCCUUUGCUUCUUAGUAUACUGCUGAACAACCUGUUGAGAUAUGGAUAUGUUCUCAGAUGAAGUGGAAUAAGUUGCAAAGUAUCCACAGAAAACGUAGAAAAUAAUUAUACGAGACUCAAGAUUUGAAAACGACUGCGGCAUCACCACUAUAUUCUUUUCUUUUUAAAAAUAAAAUAAAACAGGACACCAUUAUCUUUAUAUAGUCAUAGCGAGAGAAAAUGAUCGAGCCUUUUUGAGGUAGGGUGGUGGCAGAGUGGGGUUUGAACCUAAGUCACCACACACAGACACAGAGGUGCUAAGCUAUGUUGCUCGGACUCUUCAAAAAUGUUGAUGGUUGCGUGUUGGAUCUUUCAAAAGUAGUGCAUUUUUGAAGGAUCAGGCAUGGGUGCGGCAACACUUUUGAAGAGUCCGAGCGACAUAGGUGCUAAGUAGCGAACAUGUUUCAAGGUGCCAAACGAUAUAUAUGAUCAUUUCAUAAGGUAUAUAUACUUAUAUAUCUAAAACUAACUAAAAUUAACGGGUCCGGUGACACCCUUCACGACCACCUACCUUCCAUAUAGGUCUGCACUGAGCGAUCACUAGGCAAAAAGGUAAGUUACAUGCUGUAACAGGUUAAAUUACAUAGAUAGCUUUUUACACUUACGUAAGGGGAAAAUGAGAGAUUUUAGAAGAUAUUACUGUAAGUUUUUGCUUGCCUCAUGCAAAAUCCUUCUGGUAGUAGAAUCAUCACUUUUAGCUAACAUCUUAGCUUCUUCUAUCCAUCUUUUACAUCCUCCAACAAACUCUUCCAAAUCGAUUUUCUUGUCAUUGUUAAGGUCAAAAGCCGUCGAUAUUUUGGAAAUAGCAUAAUUUUUGUCAACCUUAACUUUCCCAGAUUGCAUAUCAUUAACCAAAUUCUCCAACUCAACAAGGGUUAUGCUUUUGUUUGCGUCCUUAUCUAUCUCAGAAAAUAACCUGCAACGUUUAGAGUUAGUGCGAACUGUUGAGACAAUAAUAAGAUAAGCAUCCAGUAACCCCUUGAACUAUGACCAAAGUUGCUACGACACACUCCAGGGUUCUAUUAUUCUCUGAACUCAAUUUUAGCAUAUUUUUGUCACCCUUUUGAGCUGAUGUGACACCUUUAUAACAUAAAAAUGGAACCCACGUCAAAAGAGCCAAAUCAGCUAAAAAGGUGUUACGUCAGCUAAAAAGGGUGACAGAAAUACACUAACAUUGAGUUCAGGGGGUAGUAGGACCCUGUGAAGUUGGAGGAUAUCGUAGCAAAUUUGGUCAUAUUCAGAGGGUUUACUCAAAAAUAAUUAAACAAAUGAAAGUGUUCUCUGUCUAACAACUUAUGCAUUGAGAUGAGAUGGACACACACUUUAAUAUGGUAUCAGAAUAGGCAGAAGUCUUGGGAUUGAGUAUGUGUUUGACAUAUGAAAAAAAUGAAUAAGGUCUGCACGCGAAACUACCUUUCGAUGAUCUGAAUAUCAGGUCGCCCUUGUUCAUCAACGAGCAUCCCUCUAGCAUUCCGUUGCACAUGUUGGAGAAAAGCAGCUAGCAAAUUCUCAUAUUUCAAAUAUUCUAAACUUCUUUCUUGAAUCCAUGGAUCCCAAAGCUAUGAAAAAAAACUAGAAGUUUAAAAUCUUUAAUUCAAGAGUAAAGUAUCUAGUAACCCCCGAACUAUGGCCAAAUUUUCUACGACACACUCCAACUUUAUAGGGUCCUAUUACCCCCUGAAUUAAAUUUUAGCAUAUUUUUGCCAACCUUUUUAGUUGACGUGCGCCCCAUUUUUAUGUAAUAAAGGUGCCACGUCAACACAAAAGGGUGACAAAAAUAAGCUUAAAUUAAGUUCAGGGGUAAUAGGAUCCCUGUGAAGUUGGAGUGCAUCGUAACAACUUUGGCCAUAGUUCGGGGGAAACUGGAUGCUUAUCUCUUAAUUCAAUAAGAAUAAAGUCGCACAACAAACAAACAUCACAUAUGAAUGCAUUUAAAGUUAUCACAUCCCCUUAAGGUAUGGCCCUUCGCAGGACCCUAUAUGAAUUGCGGGAUGCUUCGUGCACCAGAUUGCGCUUUUUAUGUCAUACAAUGCUCAUAGAGUUUCAUGGAAAUAUUUUAUUCUUCACCGCGUUUGAUAUUCAUUCUAAAUUUUGAAUAAUUACCUGAUAAGUGAAGUACGACAGCAAAAAUGUGCCUGAUACUACAAGUGUAGUGAAGAUCACAAUACGUCUUGCAAAGUAUGCGUUGAAAGCAUUAACAAGCUCUACCAGAGCAAAUGGGAUCAACGAGAGAAGCAUGAUUCCCGCAGUGUAAUUAGUCUUUUUGUCAAUUGUAACACCG
rnacentral:lncRNA from 1 species